rnacentral:rRNA from 1 species
GAUGAACGCUGGCGGCGUGCCUAAUACAUGCAAGUCGAGCGAACUGAUUAGAAGCUUGCUUCUAUGACGUUAGCGGCGGACGGGUGAGUAACACGUGGGCAACCUGCCUGUAAGACUGGGAUAACUUCGGGAAACCGAAGCUAAUACCGGAUAGGAUCUUCUCCUUCAUGGGAGAUGAUUGGAAGAUGGUUUCGGCUAUCACUUACAGAUGGGCCCGCGGUGAAUUAGCUAGUUGGUGAGGUAACGGCUCACCAAGGCAACGAUGCAUAGCCCGCCUGAGGGGGUGAUCGGCCAAACUGGGACUGAGAAAAGGCCCGGACUCCUACGGGAGGCAGCAGGAGGGAAUCUUGCGCAAUGGGCGAAAGCCUGACGCAGCGACGCCGCGUGGGGGAUGAAGGUCUUCGGAUUGUAAACCCCUUUUGGGAGGGAAAAUGGGACGGGCAACCGUCCGGAUGGUACCUCCAGAAAAAGCCACGGCUAACUUCGUGCCAGCAGCCGCGGUAAGAC